CAAUUUUUGGCCAACAUACACCACUUCAUUAAGUUGAUUCUCAGGCAUGUGAUUUAGUAAUGGGGAAGGAACUCAUGUGGUAGGACAUCUACAAAUCCGUGUGAACAGGCAGGCAUGUUAAAAAUAGGGAAAGGCUCCAGAGAAAGCUUCAUAAACAAGAAAAUCUCCAAAUUGCAGUCUUUAAGUAUACUGUAUGUACAACACCAACAUUAACAUGUAAAACAUAUCCAGAUUUCAAGGAGAGACAUUCUAGUCAUGGUGGCACAUGUGUGUAAUCCCGACACUGGGAAGAUGAAGGAGGAGGAUCUCUGUGAGUUUGGGUCAGCCAGGACUACAUAAGCUGGGAAGUGGAGUGGAGAUCUAUGAUUGCAAGGAGUGUUGUAGUCUAGAAGCCAGGAGAGGCAAUUUGAACAGAUGGUAGGUUUACUUCAUUGCUAUAGCAACUAGGACUCUGCUUCAUUGAUUCUAGUCUUAGGGAAGAAGAAAAAUAAGAUCCUGCAUGAUCUCAACUAAUGAUUCUCAGCCUCCCUAAUCCUGUAACACUAAUAUAUUUUCUCAUGGCUUUGUGACUCUUAACCAUUACUUCAUUUUGCUUCUCUUCAUAAUUCAAAUUUUGCUCCUGAUUUGAUUAUAAAGAAAAAUGGAUGGAAUAUCUGAUACGAAAAAUAUAUGUGACCCCGUAUUGAUUAUGACCCACAAGUUGAGAAUCACUGGUCUAAACUGCUAAUUUUAAACAAAAAUGUUUUUCAAGUACUUUCUACAAUGUACAUUGACCAUUACUAUUUUUGUUUUAUUUUCAAUAAAAAAGGAUUUUAUUAUUAACAUCGAUGGAAGCUUACUAACCUUGGAUUUUUAUGAAAAUUGGCUUAGCAUCCCAGAUGGAACUCUGGCUGGAAAAAUUAAUGGCAUUCAAAGGUAAUGAUACAGUAAACACUUGGGGAACUGCACCAAUAUAUAAGCAAUGCUUUUGUAAGGUACAUAGGCUUGUGUUUACAGGAUUAUAAACUGGAAUGAUGUUCUAUGCCAAGAGGUUUCCUUAGGUCACACAUGUAUUGUCACUUUUUAAACAUACCCAUUUCUCAAGCUAGCAUGUUGAACCAUGUCUAUAAUCUUACCUGGGAGCCUUCUCCUUUAUAAAUGUCAUGAUUUAGAAGACAGUCUAUGUAACACGUGUUCAGGUCAGUUUAGAGUAUUGGUUUAGUUCCUGUGUGAGACAAAUUAAAAGAAGUAAGUGUGUAUAAUACCUGUGGGUUACUUGCAUCCUAGAAUUGUUACCAUGGUAUUAUGAAUAGUUCACAUGGUCAAUAUGUGUCAUUGAUUAGAACAGGAAUCUCUUACUGAAUUCUUCUUUCUCAACUAUAACUACCUAGAGAAGUCUAGAUCAGGUAUAGCUUUGACUUUUUGAAUCAUUUUUCUGUGAUACAUAGAAUGAUUUCAUACUUAACCAGAGCUUUGAGCUCCCAUUGCAACCCAGGAGCCCUGCAUCUCUGGCUUGCUGUAGCAAAGCUUUUAUAAUUGCAUUUUGUAGGGUCACAAGUGUGCUUUCUGCUCCUUAUGUUCUAGAGUGUCCCAAGAGUGUUACAUGAACUUAUACUACAUUAGAUAUUAAAUGUGUCUCCACUCCAUUAUGGUUGGAAAGAUGGUUUGCUGUUUAAUAACACUGGAUGUUUUCAUACACAGAAUACACAUGGUUUUCAAAAAUCUUCAUUCAUUCUAAUACCAGGACAUUGAGUAGAGUCCAGAGUGUGAUUUUGCUCCUUAUGUUCUAGAUUGUUAUAAGGGUGUGUCAUCGAUUCAUAAUACAUUAGAUAUUAAAUGUGUCCCCAUGGUGGCAAGAAAGAUGGUUUGCUGUUUGAUAACACUGGAUGGUUUCACACAGAGAAUAUACAUGGUUUGCAACAAUAUUCAUUCAUUCUGUUACGAGGGAUCCUGACAUGUUCCUCUGGCUUCUGUGGGUAGCAGUCAUACAUCUAGUACAAUGAAAUUCAUAAAUAAUUUGAAAAAUGUUUUUUCUGUGAUUCUGUACAGAAAAGUGAUUUGCAGAAAAUAUUUUAUGUAAUACUCUAGCUAUAUAUUCUUCCUUCUUUUGAAUUCUGAUUAUACUGUGAGUUGGUCUACAAAACAUUUACCCUAUUUGUUCUUUGUAGUUAGAUUUCUAACUUACAUUAUUUUCAAGUUGGUCUAACCUAAAAUUCUCCUUUUUUCUUUGUUUAGCCUAUUGCAACAGAUCCUAGAACCAAACUUUAUAGUAUUAAAACAUCUCAUAUGUGUAUUAGUAAUAAUAAAAGAUUCUUCCAUGAAUAAUUUAGACAGUUACAGGUUAUCUCUGCGCAUAGCUCCACAUGUACUGUGGGGUCAGACUUCGAGAGAUUCAUUAUUUGGGAGUGACGUCUUAAGAAAGGAAACCCUAGGAUUGCAUUCUUAUGGAGUGGAGUAGAAUAUGUAUUGAUCUAUUUCAGGAAGAUUUGGGAAGGGAGAUUUUUAAUGUAGUUUAAAGUAAGUUAAUCAUUUCUUUCUACUGUUCUUUCCUUCUUUCUUCUUAGGUAUUGAUUUAGAUAUUGAUGUUUUAGCCAACAAUAAUCUGUACAUAUAAUGGUAAUCCAAGAAGACUAGAGUGAAAUUUUAAAAGAUCUGGAUUACCUAGGUUUUGUUUGUUUUUUCCACUGUAGCCCUAUUUUUGGAGUAUAGAAUAGUUGUGUUUCACAGUGGUGAGACCAUGAUAUCACUAAAUAUUCACAUCAUGUGAAUUGCUGGUCAUAUUAAAGCACAUUGCAUAUGUGUGUGUGUAUGUAUAUACAUAUAUGUGUGUAUGAGUGUUUUUGCAUGUGUACAUAU
ensembl:lncRNA